CUUCAGUUAGGCCUUAGAGGCCCUUCCAAGGUUCUGGAAACAGAGUCUGGCUUCUCUCUACACUUCACUCCCAGGCCAGAGGCCAGGCCUUAUUUGAUCCAUUUGAAAGUUUCUGCGAGCAAGGAGCUCAGGCAAGUCAGAGUCCAGCAGGGGCCCACUGACUUCCCAGAGCUGAUUCUGGACUCCAGGGUCCUGAAACCAGGUGACCUGGAAAAGCCAGUCAGUGCAACAGCCCACCCCGCUCCCCCUCUCCUCGUGUUCCCAUCCUUUAAAAAUGUUGUACCAUCUCCCUUCAGGAACGCAGCUCAGAUCCCCAACUGGCUGCCUCACUUCGUGCAGAAAAUAAAGCUUGCAUUUUAAGCUUCUGUCUCUGAAGUAAGUUUUUUCAUC